AUGACUGGGAAGGGCAUGCUGAUGCAGGAGAUCCUAAAGGCCUGAAUCAAAGUCUGUUGUUCCAG
rnacentral:miRNA from 1 species